CGUGCGACUCGUUCCUCGAGCGGCUUCUUUCCGCAGUGCGUGGUGGACUCCCUGCGCUUCGUCUGGUUAGAUUCACCUCCUGACUGCUUAGCAAGGCUGCUUCGUUCGCGCUCUGACACCUUCCGUUGUCACGGUUGGAUUCUGGUGACCGGCAGAUCGCGCCUCUGUGAGUGCUGCGUUUUUGCCGUGCCCUCUGAACUCACGCUAGGGUGGCACUGAGCUGGACGACGGUCGCAGGAGGAGGCGACUGCAGAGUGAGAACUGCGACAGACUGAGACGGUGUGGGUCUCAGGCCAGAGACGUGUAGUGGCGCAGCUGUACGACGGACGGCACAGUUGUGUGGCGAGCGUGGGUGUGGGGAGUGAUGGUGGCACAUUCGUGUGGUCGGUGGUGAACAGUCAGUUGUACGGCUAGCUCUCCGAACAGGGGAAGUGUUCGUUUUGGAGUGUUGCUUCUGAGCGAUGGGACUUUCGGGUGAAGUUUGAUUAGGUGAUAGUGGUGAACCAGCAGUAGUGAAAAUAAGAUAUUCUUGGACUUAGUGCAUAAUUUACGGACCUAAUCAAGGGCGAAGAGCAGCCUGGUGGCGCCAGGCUUUUAUGGACUGCUCUUCCGCUACUUGACGUACUCCUUUCCAGUGAUAGCGGCUCAAUCACUGAACAUUGUGCUUCCUACGAGCCUCUAAUCGCAGGACAAAGCCCGCUGCCACGCACCGGUGGAGUCGUGCGGUGUUUGAACCGGUUCGUUACAGCACUAACCUUGCGGGUGAACCACCCUCUGCACCUGCCAACCCGUGACAGUCAGCCGGGGUGUGCGGACUUUGCGUGCGGAGUGCGAGUGGCGGCUGGGGUGCGUUCGUUGCGUGCAAGGGACAGUGCUUCCGCCGACUGCGCAAAGCGGCCGUGGGGUAGUGUUAAGCGUAGGUCACUCCUCGGGGGUGACAUCCAGCGAAGAAGAUGCGGAACAUAGGUCAUGUGGUUCACCACGCGCCUCGCCACCGCCAAGCCGGACCGGGCGGCCAUGGGACAGGCGCUGCGACGCCCUCCGGCGGCGGCGGCGCCGGCGGCACAGCCGACAAGCCGCUGAGCUCUGCCUGGGCGUCGGCACUCGGCGCCGCCACCACCAUGCAGAACGGCGAGAAGCCGGGGGAGCCAGCGCGCCGCGCGCCGCGCCGGCCCAUCAAGGUGCAGCCGGACCGGCCACCGCGCGCCCUCUUCUGUCUCGGACUGAAGAACCCGCUCCGGCAGGCGUGCAUACGCAUCGUCGAGUGGAAGCCGUUCGAGACGUUGAUUCUGCUGACAAUUUUCGCCAACUGCGCGGCACUGGCCGUGUACACACCGUACCCGAAUGGCGACUCCAACAACACCAACUCAAUCUUGGAACGGAUUGAGUACAUUUUUCUGGUGAUCUUCACAGCCGAGUGUGUUAUGCGAAUCAUCGCGUACGGCUUUGCGUUCCACCCGGGCGCCUACUUGCGCAACGUAUGGAACAUCUUAGAUUUUAGCAUUGUUGUUAUAGGUAUUGUAAGUACGGCGCUGUCUUCACUUAUAGAGGAAGGCUUCGACGUCAAGGCCCUGAGGGCAUUUCGAGUGUUACGACCCCUGCGGCUUGUCUCCGGUGUACCAAGUCUACAGGUGGUCCUGAACUCUAUUCUUCGCGCCAUGGUGCCUUUGCUUCACAUUGCGCUACUUGUGAUAUUCGUCAUCAUCAUCUAUGCCAUCAUCGGGUUGGAGCUGUUCAAGGGGAAGCUGCACAGCACCUGUUACCAUAACCAGACGGGUGAAAUGAUAGGCGAGCCGUCACCAUGUGCCAAUCCGUCGUCGAGUGGGUUCCACUGCCCCGACCAAUACGAGUGCAAGGAGGAGUGGGAGGGGCCCAACUUCGGCAUCACCAACUUCGACAACUUCGGCCUGGCCAUGCUGACCGUGUUUCAGUGCAUCACCAUGGAGGGCUGGACGGACGUUAUGUACUACAUUCAGGAUGCAUCAGGCCAGUCGUGGCCCUGGAUAUAUUUCAUAUCGAUGAUGAUCGUCGGCGCUUUCUUUGUUAUGAAUCUUAUUCUCGGUGUGCUAAGCGGAGAGUUCUCCAAGGAAAGAGAGAAGGCGAAAGCUCGCGGUGACUUCCAGAAACUGCGAGAAAAACAGCAACUGGAAGAGGAUCUGCGCGGUUACCUGGACUGGAUCACGCAGGCGGAGUACCUGGAACCGGAGGAAGACGAGCCGGGUGACGAGACCAAACUCCAUGAACACGUGGAAGAAGAUGACGCCCAGGCAGAGGACGGCGCUGAAGUGGUCGACAGCAGACACCUCUCGUGCUGGGCGAAAAAGCGGAAAGGAUUCGAAAAAUGGAACCGGCGAAUGAAGCGCUCGUUCCGCGUGGCCGUCAAGUCGCAGUCGUUCUACUGGCUCAUCAUCGUCCUGGUGUUUCUGAACACGGGAGUGUUGGCCACGGAACACUACGACCAGCCGCCCUGGCUCGACCAGUUUCAGGAAAUUGGCAACCUGUUUUUUAUCGUGCUUUUUACAAUUGAGAUGCUGGUCAAGAUGUACGCCCUCGGUUUCCAGAGUUAUUUCGUGUCGCUGUUCAACCGUUUCGACUGUUUUGUGGUGAUCAGCAGUAUAAUGGAAGUACUGCUGACCAAGACGGGCGUUAUGCCGCCCCUCGGUGUCUCCGUGCUCCGCUGUGUCCGGCUGCUCCGGGUGUUUAAGGUCACCAGGUACUGGCGCUCCCUCUCCAACCUAGUGGCAUCCCUCCUGAACUCUAUCCAGUCCAUCGCCUCGCUCCUGCUGCUCCUGUUCCUUUUCAUCGUCAUCUUCGCUCUGCUCGGUAUGCAGGUAUUCGGCGGCAAGUUUAACUUUGACGACUCGGAUGACAAGCCGCGCAGCAACUUCGAUUCGUUUGUGCAGAGCCUGUUGACAGUGUUCCAGAUCCUCACCGGCGAGGACUGGAACGUCGUCAUGUACCACGGUAUCGAGGCGUACGGCGGAGUGGGAGGCGUCGGCGCGCUGGCCUGCUCCUACUUCAUCAUACUGUUCAUCUGCGGCAACUAUAUUCUUCUGAACGUAUUCUUGGCUAUCGCCGUGGACAACUUGGCAGACGCCGAGUCGCUGACAGCCAUCGAGAAAGAGGAGGAAGAGGAGAAAGCUCGCUCUCGCUCGCGGAGUGGGUCCCCUCGUAAGGACGGAGACCGGAUAGAAGAAGGCGGAGACCAGGAUCGGUCGCCAUAUGGCUCUCAGAAGCUUGCAGAACUCAACCACGUCGGGCCGGACCGGGCGGGAAGUCAGACCAGCGUCGACAUGGGCGACGAUGACAUGGGCGACGAGGAAUACGAUAACUACGACGAAGACGGACGUCGCCGACGCGACUCAGGCAGCGACGGCGACUCGGGGAGCGGUGUCGACGUCGACGAGCUUCCGCCGACAAUGCGGCCGCGCCGUCUGUCGCAGCUCUCCAUCAAGAACAAGAUCAAGCCGAUGCCGCAGUACAGUAGUUUCUUUGUGUUCUCGCCCACCAACAGGUUCCGCAUCUUCUGCCACUGGUUCUGCAACCACAGCUUCUUCGGCAACGUCAUCUUGGUGUGUAUCCUGGUGUCGUCGGCAAUGCUGGCUGCCGAGGACCCUUUGGACCCGCACACUGCCAGGAACAAGAUUCUCAACCACUUUGACUACUUCUUCACGGCUGUGUUCACCGUGGAGAUCUGCUUCAAGGUGAUCGCCUACGGGUUCAUACUGCACCCGGGCUCGUUUUGCCGCUCGGCCUUCAAUCUGCUCGAUAUUCUCGUCGUGGCAGUGUCGCUCAUAUCGUUUAUAUUCAGCUCUGGAGCCAUCUCUGUGGUCAAGAUCCUGCGUGUGGCUCGUGUGCUGCGACCGCUACGAGCCAUCAACAGAGCCAAGGGACUCAAGCACGUGGUGCAAUGCGUCAUCGUGGCCAUCAAGACCAUCUGGAAUAUCAUGCUGGUGACGUGCCUGCUAGAGUUCAUGUUUGCCGUUAUCGGUGUACAGCUGUUCAAGGGCAAGUUCUUCUUCUGCAACGACAGAUCCAAACUCACCGAGCUAGAGUGCAGGGGUCAGUACAUCGAGUUUGCCGAGGGUGAUGUCAGUCGACCCAAUACGGUGGAGCGCGAAUGGACCAAGAACGAUUUUCACUUUGACGACGUCGGCAAGGCCAUGCUGACCCUCUUCACUGUGUCCACCUUUGAGGGCUGGCCAAAUCUGCUCUACACAUCGAUCGACUCUCAUACGGAGGACGAGGGUCCGAUCUACAACUACCGACCGAUGGUGGCCAUCUACUACUUCAUCUAUAUCAUCAUCAUUGCCUUCUUCAUGGUCAACAUCUUCGUCGGUUUCGUUAUCGUCACAUUCCAGAGCGAGGGAGAGCAGGAGUAUAAGAACAUCGAUUUGGACAAAAACCAGCGCAACUGUAUAGAGUUCGCGCUGAAGGCUCGCCCGGUGCGUCGCUACAUCCCCAAGCACCGUCUCCAGUACCGCGUGUGGUGGUUCGUCACCUCACAGCCCUUCGAGUACUUCAUAUUCGUACUCAUUCUCUGCAACACCAUCACUCUAGCCAUGGGCUUCUACAAGCAGCCGGACGCCUAUACUGAGGCGCUGGACGUGCUGAAUCUCAUAUUCUCGUCAGCGUUCGCCGUCGAGUGUGUGCUCAAGCUGAUUGCGUUCAGGUUUAAGAACUACUUCAGCGAUCCGUGGAACGUGUUUGAUUUUAUCAUUGUGCUGGGAUCGUUUAUCGACAUUUCACUCGGCAAACUCAACUCUGACGGGCCGGCCAACAAGAUGAUCAGCAUCAACUUCUUCCGUCUGUUCCGAGUAAUGCGUCUAGUGAAGCUGCUCUCGCGCGGAGAGGGCAUCCGCACGCUACUCUGGACCUUCAUCAAGUCGUUCCAGGCGUUGCCGUACGUCGCGCUGCUCAUCGUCAUGCUGUUCUUCAUCUACGCGGUGGUCGGGAUGCAGGUGUUUGGAAAGAUUGCGAUUGACGAGGAGACGUCGAUACACCGGAACAACAACUUCCAGACGUUUCCGCAGGCGGUGUUGGUGCUGUUUCGGUCGGCCACAGGCGAGGCAUGGCAGGACAUUAUGCUGGCCUGCGUGUCCGGCAAGUGUGAUGCGGCGUCGGACGAAAAGCCGGAGGAUACAUGUGGCACCGUCUUCGCGAUACCUUACUUCGUCAGUUUCUACAUCUUGUGUUCCUUCUUGGUCAUCAACCUGUUCGUGGCCGUCAUCAUGGACAACUUUGACUACCUGACGCGCGACUGGUCCAUCCUGGGCCCUCACCACCUGGACGAGUUUGUGCGUCUCUGGUCCGAGUACGACCCCGACGCCAAGGGACGCAUCAAGCACGUCGACGUCGUCACCCUGCUGCGGAAAAUCUCACCGCCGCUCGGCUUUGGCAAACUGUGUCCGCACCGCGUGGCGUGCAAACGACUCGUGUCGAUGAACAUGCCUCUGAACGCGGACGGUACGGUGAUGUUUAACGCCACACUAUUCGCCGUGGUGAGGACAUCACUGAGGAUAAAAACCGACGGCAACAUUGACGAAAUGAACGCCGAGCUGCGCACAAUCAUCAAGAAAGUGUGGAAGCGGACGUCGCCGAAGCUGCUGGAUCAAGUCGUCCCGCCGCCGGGCGUCGAGGACGACGUGACGGUCGGCAAGUUCUACGCCACCUUCCUCAUCCAGGACUACUUCCGCAAGUUCAAGAAGAAGAAGAAGGACGAACACUCGCGCACUCAGGGCGAAAACGAUACAACCACCGUCACUCUACAGGCCGGUCUGCGAACUCUUCACGAGGCGGGUCCGGAGCUAAAGAGGGCCAUCUCGGGUAACCUCGACCAGAUGCUGGCCGAGGACACGCCCAUGCAUAGGACCAACAACGGGCAUCAUUUGCCGGUGAACGGCGGCGCGGUGGGCCGCAGCAGUUCGGGAGACGGAGAGGCCAUACCGCUCCAGACCCUCCAGCCGGCCACAAGUGCCGAGCAGCCACUGGAGGCCAGGCGCUGACAUGCCCGGUGGCGGCGGCGGCGGGGGUGUCGGUAGCGGCGGCGUGGCGCUGUCUCGCUCAGUUCCCAGCAGUCCACACCAGCAGCACGUCAGGAUCGACCGGCCACUCUCCGAGGUGGUCGGGUCGGCCGAUAACCUCGUAGGAAGGGUGCUGACUGACCAGGGCCUGGGCGCGUUCUGCGCCGACCCGCAGUUUGUGCGCACGGCCAGCCGAGAGCUGCAGGAGGCCAUCAACAUGACGCCAGAGCAGAUGGACCGCGCCGCGCACAUGCUGCUGUCGCGAUCGCCGCCGCCGCCGGCGCGGUAGCGCGCCGCCGCGCCACCGGGGCCUCAAGUGCCUGGCAGGGACACUGCCCGCCCUCCCCUCCCCAUUUUGUGAUACGGCCCAGUCUAGUCCCUCUCAGCUCAGGAGGCCGACGGAGGCCGGUCGGCUGCCGUCAUUUUGUACCGCCGGGCCGCCACACACGAGACCGGGCCCCUCGCGCGCUGCCCGACCUCCGCGCCCGCACAGAACGAAAGAGCGAGAGUGUGAGAGAGUUUAGAGAGAGUUGUGAACGAGAGCGAGAGAGAUCUUGGACCAUUAUAUGUCUUUCCCAUCAACCGUCGGCGCAGUUUGACGUUUCUCUGACGAGGUCCGUGGACUUGACCGCGGCCGGUGCCUGAAGAUUAUAUUAUAUAUACCAGCACAAACCAUUCGUCCAUUUUUCACCUUGUCGUUGGUGACGUCACUGGCGUUCUCGUCGUUGAUUGGCUGCGCUUUUGAUGGGCGGCCGGCUACCUUGGGGCCGGUCCGCGCGCGGCCUCUCGCCCCCAGAUACCUUUGAACGAUGCCAUUGUUUCUGCUGGUUCAGAAACCGGCUGAUGUGCGCAUGCGCGCGCCCGCUGCGCUCAUUGGUCGCUAGGCAUGCCCCGUUUUGCAGCAUUUUGUGAUGGGCAACUGUGCCGCCUCGUUGGCGACGUUGGGCGGCGCUGCGCGCCGUCGACUAUGUGGGUUUUCGUACUUGGCCUCACGUGUGUGCGUGUGUCGUGUUUGGGAAAGGCGCGUGCGAGAGCGAUGGAGUUUGGGUCCGCUCCCGGACCUCCUCCGUAAGUGCAAUGGUUAGGGUGCCGGCCGGCCGGGCGGCCGCUGCCCGCCGCCGCCAGCCGUCCGCCCCACCACUCAGGGGCGGACGGCGCAAUCAAAACGGCCGGCCGCGCACAGUGCCGCGCGCGCGCGCGUGUUCGAUCUUACUCCGGUGACAUAAUACAUAUUGUCCUCCCAGGUA
rnacentral:misc_RNA from 1 species